rnacentral:misc_RNA from 1 species
UUGCCAAGCAACGAAGCAAGUUCAAAGAACUGAAGAGGAACCUCCUAUGUACCGAACAACCUACUAUGGCCACCAUACAUGCAAGAACUUGCUCAAGGCUUCUCACCUUUUCUUGGAUGCUCCUGAUGCUACCGAUUCUUCUAUGCUACUAAGCUUUGGCAAUGGCCGCCACCACCACCUCACAAACAAACAAGAUACCCCUUUUUUUCUCAUCCUUCCAGUCAGUAAAACAGGAGAACAAUAACGAAUUGCCAAAUGAUCAUGAUCAUCAUCUUACCCAUAACCAGUCAUCUUCCUCCGAUUAUCUUCUCUCUCCUGAAGAUCAUUUGUCAACUUUGGAUCCAGCGGAUGUGAUUUCUGGGGUUAACUCGUCUUGCACCACUAGCACUACUACCCAUCGCAGUUUGGACCUUGACAUGAUUGUGACAUCAGUGGAUAAUCACUUUGAUGAUGAUGAUGUUUUGGAAUUGGAAUACUUUGAUUAUACAGAAUAAUUUCCAUGUAGAAAUAGUUUUA